rnacentral:rRNA from 1 species
UACGUAGGGUGCAAGCGUUGUCCGGAAUUAUUGGGCGUAAAGAGCUCGUAGGCGGUUUGUCGCGUCGGCUGUGAAAACUCAGGGCUCAACCCUGAGCCUGCAGUCGAUACGGGCAGACUAGAGUCCGGCAGGGGAGACUGGAAUUCCUGGUGUAGCGGUGAAAUGCGCAGAUAUCAGGAGGAACACCGGUGGCGAAGGCGGGUCUCUGGGCCGGAACUGACGCUGAGGAGCGAAAGCGUGGGGAG